rnacentral:rRNA from 1 species
GUCUAUGGCCAUGCCACCGGGAACAAGCCCGAUGUCUGAUCUCAGAAGUUAAGCAGGGUUGGGCGUGGUUAGUACUUGGAUGGGAGACCACCUAGGAAGACCAGGUGCUAUAGGCA